rnacentral:rRNA from 1 species
GACGAACGCUGGCGGCGUGCUUAACACAUGCAAGUCGAACGGAAAGGCCCUGCUUUUGUGGGGUGCUCGAGUGGCGAACGGGUGAGUAACACGUGAGUAACCUGCCCUUGACUUUGGGAUAACUUCAGGAAACUGGGGCUAAUACCGGAUAGGAGCUCCUGCUGCAUGGUGGGGGUUGGAAAGUUUCGGCGGUUGGGGAUGGACUCGCGGCUUAUCAGCUUGUUGGUGGGGUAGUGGCUUACCAAGGCUUUGACGGGUAGCCGGCCUGAGAGGGUGACCGGCCACAUUGGGACUGGGAUACGGCCCAGACUCCUACGGGAGGCAGCAGUGGGGAAGAGUGCACAAUGGGCGGAAGCCUGAUGCAGCAACGCCGCGUGCGGGAUGACGGCCUUCUGGUUGUAAACCGCUUUCGCCUGUGACGAAGCGUGAGUGACGGUAAUGGGUAAAGAAGCACCGGCUAACUACGUG